rnacentral:rRNA from 1 species
GUUGUUGCAGUUAAAAAGCUCGUAGUUGGAUCUCGGGUACUAGCAUGUGGUACGCUUUGUUGCUGUUACUACAUGACUGGUCCUAAUCAACCGGUUGGCCGUUGAUGCCCUUUAUUGGGUGUUUUCGGUAGCCGGUACGUUUACUUUGAGAAAAUUAGAGUGCUUAAAGCAGGCUAUACGCCUGAAUAAUGUUGCAUGGAAUAAUAGAAUAGGACCUCGGUUCUAUUUUGUUGGUUUUGUAGAGCAUUGAGGUAAUGAUUAAUAGGGACAGACGGGGGCAUUCGUAUUGCGGUGUUAGAGGUGAAAUUCUUGGAUCGCCGCAAGACGAACAACUGCGAAAGCAUUUGCCAAGAAUGUUUUCAUUAAUCAAGAACGAAAGUUGGAGGUUCGAAGACGAUUAGAUACCGUCCUAGUUCCAACCAUAAACGAUGCCAUCUAGCAAUCAGUUGCUGUUAAUUAAACGACACAGCUGGCGGCUUCCGGGAAACCAAAGACUUUGGGUUCCGGGGGAAGUAUGGUUGCAAAGCUGAAACUUAAAGGAAUUGACGGAAGGGCACCACCAGGAGUGGAGCCUGCGGCUUAAUUUGACUCAACACGGGAAAUCUCA